rnacentral:rRNA from 1 species
UCGAACGGUAACAGACAAAGCCUAGCUUUGUGCUGACGAGUGGCGCACGGGUGAGUAACGCGUACACAACCUACCUUCAAGAGGAGAAUAGCCCUGGGAAACUGGGAUUAAUACUCCAUAGAAUUACUGUGUUAAAGGAUGUUUAAGUAAUUAAAGUUUAGGCGCUUGGAGAUGGGUGUGCGUCCCAUUAGCUAGUUGGUGAGGUAACGGCUCACCAAGGCGACGAUGGGUAGGGGGCGUGAGAGCGUGACCCCCCACACGGGUACUGAGACACGGACCCGACUCCUACGGGAGGCAGCAGUAAGGAAUAUUGGACAAUGGGCGCAAGCCUGAUCCAGCCAUCCCGCGUGGAGGAUGACUGCCCUAUGGGUUGUAAACUCCUUUUAGAUAGGAAGAAACCCCUUUAUUUAUGAAGGGCUGACGGUACUAUCAGAAUAAGCACCGGCUAACUCCGUGCCAGCAGCCGCGGUAAUACGGAGGGUGCAAGCGUUAUCCGGAAUCACUGGGUUUAAAGGGUGCGUAGGCGGAUAGAUAAGUCAGAGGUGAAAGCCCGCAGCUUAACUGCGGAAUUGCCCUUUGAUACUGUUUAUCUUGAAUGAGGUUGAGGUUAGCGGAAUGAGUCGUGUAGCGGUGAAAUGCAUAGAUAUGACUUAGAACACCAAUUGCGUAUGCAGCUAGCUAGGCCUUUAAUUGACGCUGAGCACAGAAAGCAGUGGGGGAGCGAACAGGAUUGGAUACCCUGGUCAGUCCAUGCCCUAAUA